UUUAAUUCAUACAUCUUAUUUAAUUUCUGUUGUUUAUUUACUUAUUUUUAUUUGAUGUUAAGAUUAAGGGGGAUUAGCUCCUUGUUCUGUUUUUAUAAUUUGUCUCAUGGUUUAAUUUAGUUUUGUGGAUUUUAUGGUGAUUUUCUAUUUGAUUAUGUUAAAAUUUUAUUUGUUCUUUUUUUAAUUUUUUAUUAUUUAAGUUAUUUAUUGAAAUGUUUUCUUUACUUUGGUUUGUAUAGUAAUUAUUGUGUAAUUAGUAAAUUUUAUUGGUUGUUAUGUGAGAUGGUAGGUGUUAAUUGCUUUUGAGGAAUUCGGCAAAGUUUUAUGUCCGCCUGUUUAACAAAAACAUCUUUUCUUGUUAGUUUUUGAAGUAUGGCCUGCCCACUGACUUAGAGUUGAAGGGCCGCGGUAUUUUGACCGUGCAAAGGUAGCAUAAUCAUUAGUUCUUUAAUUGUGAUCUGGUAUGAAUGGCUUGACGAGACAUAAGCUGUCUUAGAAGUAUUGAUUUAUUGAAUUUGGUUUUUGAGUUAAAAUUCUUAAAUGUUUUUAUGGGACGAGAAGACCCUAUAGAGUUUGACAAUUUUCCUAUUUGUUCGUUGUUUGUUUUAUUUACAUUGAGUGGGAGUGAAUUGUUUUGUUGGGGUGAUGGGAGGAAUAUUGUUUAACUCCUCUUUAUUUUUAUAUAUUUAU
rnacentral:rRNA from 1 species